GGCGUGUACUGCUUGGCUGGGCCUUACUUCUUGGUGAGCCGGCGUGCCCUUUAUUGGUGUGCGUCGGGGAACCAGGACUUUUACCUUGAGAAAAUUAGAGUGUUCAAAGCAGGCCUAUGCCUGAAUACAUUAGCAUGGAAUAAUAGAAUAGGACGUGCGGUUCUAUUUUGUUGGUUUCUAGAGUCGCCGUAAUGAUUAAUAGGGACAGUUGGGGGCAUUGGUAUUGAGUCGCUAGAGGUGAAAUUCUUGGAUUGACUCAAGACCGACUAUUGCGAAAGCAUUUGCCAAGGAUGUUUUCAUUAAUCAAGAACGAAGGUUAGGGGAUCGAAAACGAUCAGAUACCGUUGUAGUCUUAACAGUAAACUAUGCCGACUAGGGAUCGGAUGACCUCAAAUUGAUGUGUCAUUCGGCACCUUACGAGAAAUCAAAGUCUUUGGGUUUCUGGGGGGAGUAUGGUCGCAAGGCUGAAACUUAAAGGAAUUGACGGAAGGGCACCACCAGGUGUGGAGCCUGCGGCUUAAUUUGACUCAACACGGGGAAACUCACCAGGUCCAGACAUAACUAGGAUUGACAGAUUGAUAGCUCUUUCAUGAUUUUAUGGGUGGUGGUGCAUGGCCGUUCUUAGUUGGUGGAGUGAUUUGUCUGGUUAAUUCCGAUAACGAACGAGACCUUAACCUGCUAAAUAGCCAGGCCGGCUUCGGCUGGUCUCUGGCUUCUUAGAGGGACUGUCAG
rnacentral:rRNA from 1 species